rnacentral:rRNA from 1 species
UACGUAGGGGGCAAGCGUUGUCCGGAAUCAUUGGGCGUAAAGAGCGUGUAGGCGGCCAGAAAAGUCCGCUGUGAAAACUCGAGGCUCAACCUUCGAAAGCCGAUGGAUACUGCCGGGCUAGAGUCCGGAAGAGGCGAGUGGAAUUCCUGGUGUAGCGGUGGAAUGCGCAGAUAUCAGGAGGAACACCUAUAGCGAAGGCAGCUCGCUGGUACGACACUGACGCUAAGGCGCGAAAGCCAGGGGAGCGAACGGG